rnacentral:rRNA from 1 species
ACGAACGCUGGCGGCGCGCUUAACACAUGCAAGUCGAACGAGAAGGCGUAGCAAUACGCUUGUACAGUGGCGAACGGGUGAGUAAUACGUGGGCGACCUACCCUCGAGUGGGGAAUAACCCGCCGAAAGGCGGGCUAAUGCCGCGUACGCUUCCAUCUUUAUGGAGGUGGAAGGAAAGCCGUGCCGUGGGCACGGCGCUCAAGGAUGGGCUCACGUCCUAUCAGCUUGUUGGAGGGUAACGGCCUACCAAGGCUCCGACGGGUAGCUGGUCUGAGAGGACGAUCAGCCACACUGGCACUGCGACACGGGCCAGACUCCUACGGGAGGCAGCAGUGAGGAAUAUUGCGCAAUGGGCGAAAGCCUGACGCAGCGACGCCGCGUGGGGGA